rnacentral:rRNA from 1 species
CAGGGAUUACCCUAGUAACGGUGAGUAAAGCGGUAACAGCUUAAAUUUUAAAUCUAGCUCCCUUAGGGGUCCGAGUUGUAAUUUGUAGAAAGUACUUUAGCGUUAGUAGUAGUCUAAGUUCCUUGGAAUAGGAUAUUAUAGAGGGUGAGAAUCCUAUACGUAGUCGCUAACCUUCGCCGUGUAAAGCCCCUUCAACGAGUCGAGUUGUUUAGGAAUAUAGCUCUAAAUAGGAGGUAAAUUUCUUCUAAAGCUAAAUACCGGCUAGAGACCGAUAGCGUAUAAGUAGAGUAAUCGAAAGAUGAAAAGCACUUUAGAAAGAGAGUUAAAUAGCACGUGAAAUUAUUAAAAGGGAAGCGCUUAUAGUCAGACUUACCCGUAGUUACUCACCUAGGCUCCUACCUAGGGCACUCUUCUACGGGUAGGCCAGCAUUAGUUUAGGCGACCGGACAAAGACCUCUGUCAUAUAUCUUCCUUCAGGAUGACCUUAUAGGGGAGGUGUAAUACGGCUAGCCCGGACUAAGGUCCGCGCUUCUGCUAGGAUGCUAGCGUAAUAGCUAUAAGCGGCCCGUCUUAAAACACGGACUAAGGAGUCUAACAUCUAUAUAAGUGUUUAGGUGUCAAGCCCGGGCGCGUAAUAAAAGUGAACGGAGGUAGGAACCUUUAGGUACACCAUCGACCGAUCCUAAUGUCUUCGGAUAGAUUUAAGUAAGAGUAUAGCUGUUAGGACCCGAAAGAUAGUGAACUAUACUUGAAUAGGGUGAAGCCAGAGGAAACUCUAGUAGAGGCUUACAGCGGUUCUAACGUACAAAUCAAUCGUCAAAUUUAGGCAUAGGGGCGAAAGACUAAUCGAAUAUCUAGUGUAGCCGUCG